rnacentral:rRNA from 1 species
UACGGAGGGGGCUAGCGUUGUUCGGGAUUACUGGGCGUAAAGCGCGCGCAGGCGGCUAUCCAAGUCAGUGGUGAAAGCCCGGAGCUCAACUUCGGAACUGCCAUUGAAACUGUUUAGCUUGAGGACGAGAGAGGUGAGUGGAAUUCCCAGUGUAGAGGUGAAAUUCGUAGAUAUUGGGAAGAACACCGGUGGCGAAGGCGGCUCACUGGCUCGUAUCUGACGCUCAGGCGCGAUAGCGUGGGGAUCAAACAGG